rnacentral:misc_RNA from 2 species
CAGAGUUCUCGCCCUCGCGGGUAGAUCUCCCACCCACUGUUAUUGCUACCGUGUUGCUUUGGCGGGCUGCUGGGCCUAGCCCGGCCGCCGGCUCCGGCUGGCGCGCCCGCCAGAGGCCCGACAAAUUCUGAUUGUCAGUGUCGUCUGAGUACUAUAUAAUAGUUA